AGGCCCCGCCCCCAGCGGAACCGCGCCGAGUGCCGCCGUGCUGGGAUGUCCUAUUGUACCCUGGGGUUCCUUUCCGGACGGGGGUGCAAAAUGGAAGGAGUUUUCAAGGUAAAGCAUGAUAAAGGGACUUGCAAUGAUUAGCGCGCUUGAUUCCAGUGCCUCUAAGAACUGGCGAGAGAGACAACGCGAGCCUCCCCCUGAGCGCCCAAUUGGUUUGACCCAGCCAAGAUGGCGGCCGCCGGGUUUCCCGCACUCCGCCCGCUGACGCGGCCCGUCCGUCUGCCAGCCGGCCCGCCUCGCUUGGAAGGAAGCAUGCGCGACCUGCGGAGCUGAGGAGCGGGGCAUUUUGGAAGUUGAAGUCUCCUGCUCGGGCCCCUCGUCUGGGAGGAAGGUUCCGGCGGUACAUUUUUGUCUGCUCCAACUUCGAGUCCGGAACUAGCGAGCAGAAGUUGGACCCGGGAUGGUGUGGCACCGGAGCCGAGGAGGGGGUGAUGCCGGCCUUCUGGACACGGAGACCUCAUCCCGCUUUCCAUAGGAGCCCUGGCUGAGCUGCCCAUCCGGAAUAGUGCGUUCUUGGAUGAACGUGGCAGGUAGAGGCACUUGUCCCAGAUCACACAGCCAGGAAGUGGAACAAGCUGGCUACAGUUCCGGCAUUCCCAGCAUUCUGCUCCUGGAAAUAAGUUUGGCAGGUGCCUAAAUGCAACCUCACAUGUUGGGACUUACGACCGUCUGGAAGGAGGCACCCUCCAUUACCAGAGAGAACACAGACUGACUGAGGGUCCCUUUGGGCGGUGGCUCCUGGAGGGAAAUGUGGCCUGGAUUUCCUGGAACACGUGGAGCUGGAGUCCCAGUGCUGCAAGGAGGGAGCUGCUGGCAGCAGAGUGACACCCUGCCCCCCAACUUAACUGGGUUCUCUGGAGCAAGUGGCCACUUUGAGCUGGAUUUCUGUCACUUACAACCAAAAGAGAACUGGCCAAUUCCAGGUAGAAACACGUGGGAACGUUGGAAAAGGAAAGUAGUUGGGGUGGUGAAGAAUUGGCUGGAAAUUCUUUCUGAUAGGGGUAGGACUUGAGUAGGGUAUUGAUAAAUGAAGAAGAUUUUGAUGCAUGAAGAAGAAACAAUAUUUCCAGUGAGGGGAGCAGCUCGGGCAAAGGCUUGGCAGUGGAACCUGCAAGGGCGGGCACAGUCAGUGUGGCUGGGAAAAGGGGGAGGGUAGAGAAGUGGUGGGAAAGGGACUGGCAGGGAGGGAUGUGCCUGAAUUGUGCAGAAAAUCAGUCUAUUCCUUUGCCUACAUCCUCCUUCCUUCAUCGGUUAAGUUAUCCACAAUCAUUUAUGAAGCACCUACUAUGUGCCUGGCACUCUUGAAGGGCUGGUGAGAGCAGUGGACAACACAGGCAAAGUCCUAGUCCUCUUAUAGUUUCCAUUCUAGUCAAAGGAGACAGGCAGUAAACAAGAUAACUAGAUAAAUAAGUAUCAUAGAGUCAGUAAUGACUUAUGAAGAAAAACUAAGACAAGGGGAUAAAGACUGGUGGAAAGCUGUUUGGGAUGAUGAAAAUGGUUGCACCACAUUGUGGAUGUACUUAAUGCCAUGGAAUUGUACACUUAAAAAUGGUUAAAAUUUUAUGUUACAUAUAUAUUACCACACACAAAACAAAAGAUUGGUGGAGGAGUGUUGUUCUAGCUUGGGUGGUCAGGGCAGGCCUCCUUGAGAAGGUGGUAUUUGAGCAGAGAUUUGAAUGAAGGGAAUUAGCAAGGUAGAUGAGGGGAGAACAUUCUAGGCAGAUGGCAAUGGGCCUGGUGUGUUCCAGGAACUGCUAGGAGACUGGUGUGCCUGGAGCUCAGAGAGCAAGGGGAGUGGGAGGGAGAUGAGGUGAUAAGGGCAGUAGAGAUUGGCACCCCACGAGAGAACCUUCCAUUUUAUUGUAAGAGUGAUGGGAAGCCUUUGCAGGAUUGAGCAGGGGAGGGACAUGAACUGACCCUUUUUACUCAACUCUUCCCUCUCUCCCACACUCCAUUGAGGUAUUUAUUUCACCUCUGCUUCCUGUAUAUCUCUGCUGGCUGCUGCCCUCUUUUGCCUGCCUUCAUGACUGUUACCUAGUUGAGGUCAUCAUUUUUACAUGGAUGACCCAAGUGGCCUCCAACCAGCCUCUGGGCCGUCCCCCAGCCAGCCCUCACCUUGGUCACCAGGGGCUUUCCACCUGCACCUCUGAGUAGUCCUUCCCUUAGUGAAGUAGUCCUUCCCAAGUCCCUGUCUACAGUGUGUUCUCAAUAAAUAACUACUUUUAUAAAAACCCUGGGUGGUAUUCAUCGCGUCGAGAACCGCCGUGACCAAGUGGAAGGAAGUCAGUCCUGCAGGGGUUAUCUUGGCGAUGGCUGUGCCCUCCCCCGAGCUGUUUCCCCAGAGCUGUUUCCUGUAAGGGUGGGGUUUGAGGUAGGAACCUGCCCUGGGAGCUGGAGGCAUAUCUUUAUGAAGUGUGCCAUGCCAGCAUGGCCAAGGGUGAACCUGAGUAGGGGCAGCUGAAAGGCUUAGAAAAGACAGACAAGAGAAUGAAAUCUGGGUCUUGGUGGGACACUGCUUCUCUGAGAGACAGCGACCAUGCCCACAGCCGUGUCUUUAUUUUAUUGCAGAUUUGCCACAAGGCAAAGUAAGGGCGUGACCAAGAUGUUUACAACAUUCUCCUGGGUUUCAAUCCUACUCAACUACAUGCACCUGAACUCUAUCAAGCCUACAUCACUCAGGCACGUGGGGCCAUGUGUUUGGACCAUAGGUUCAAGCUUACAACUAUAGCUGUUGGCUAUAAUUGUGCCAGGAGGGCCCUGCCCUCCAAGCUGGGACUUGCACGUGGCAAUGAGAGGACUGUGCCCUCUCAUCAGUCCAAGGCUUGAACCUGUCCAAAACACUGUAGCGACUCCCCACAAUAAAGUUUUAAUUCUGUUUCUUUGUUACUAAUGUUGUGGCCCCACCCCAUAACAAAGAAACAAUUUCAGGAGGAUGAGGCCCAGGAAUCAGGAUUUUAAAAAGAUUCCCAGGUGAUUCUAAUGUGCAGCCAAGGUUGAGAACCACUGCUAUAGAUAAUAUUAAAAAUAUAUCUAAAUGUGCAAUUCUUUGUCCAAAAAAUGAGCAUGUUCAAAAUUAAAUGAAGAAAAUUUGGAUAUACUCAAUGGAGAUUUUCACACAUAUUUGAGCGAUGAUUCCAUUGAUUCCACAGAUGAUGCUGAAAAGGAAAAUUUUCCCAUCGAAUUUCUUAAUAGUAUUACUCCUUCGGGAAUGCCGUGUCAUAAAUUAAAAUUGAAAGUAGAUGCAAUCAUCAUGCUAUUGAGAAAUCUCAAUAGUAAAUGGGGUCUUUGUAAUGGUACCAGAUUUAUUAUCAAAAGAUUACGACCUAACAUUAUUGA